UACGAAGGGGGCUAGCGCUGCUCGGAAUCACUGGGCGUAAAGCGCACGUAGGCGGCUUGCUAAGUCAGGGGUGAAAUCCUGGAGCUCAACUCCAGAACUGCCUUUGAUACUGGCGACCUUGAGUCCGGGAGAGGUGAGUGGAACUGCGAGUGUAGAGGUGAAAUUCGUAGAUAUUCGCAAGAACACCAGUGGCGAAGGCGGCUCACUGGCCCGGUACUGACGCUGAGGUGCGAAAGCGUGGGGAGCAAACAGG
rnacentral:rRNA from 1 species